rnacentral:lncRNA from 1 species
UUUUUUUUUUUUUUUGCUUGAGAGCAUUUUCAAUACUCUAAUAUACUUUAAUAUACAAUGUUAAAUCUUAUGUAAUAUACAGGGUGUCUCACAAAUGACCGAACAUAGAAGGGGGUUGAAGUCCGAAGGAUCGCUAUUUGCGCAAGUCCAUUGCGUAGUACAGGCGAGGCGAUGCUCUACUAUAGGGAGGGAAACGGGAGAUGCUUUCUUGCAUGGAGCGCAUCGCUUGUUUUGAUAUCGAUGCUAGAUGUUUCAUGCAUUUAUUCGCACUUACAUAGUGUGAAUAAACGCAUGAAACAUCACUGGCAUCGAUGUCGAUUGUUUGAGGGAGAAUCACAUCUGUUACGAUUUUUGUCAAAUAAUACUGUAAUAAAGUGA